GGAAGGCCCCCUUCCUGACUCUGCCCUUCCCAGAGGCACAGCGGCAGCUUCAGGCCAGACUCUACCAUCUCUGAUGCUGUGUCACCGAUAGCACUGCCUGCUCUGGCCACGAAUAAUACUCCUUGACCGGCAGUCCUUCAUGCACUGCUCCUCUGUAUUUCUUACCGUGAAAGGAAGUAGAUCCACGUCAAUGCCCUCAAUUGGAGCACGCUUGACCCAGUUUCAUCAUUUGCCUUUUAGUGUUGUCUGUGAGGUUACUUUCCAUUGCCACAUUGGAAACUGCUCAAGUUGACUAAGCUGAAAGCAGUCUUGUGCUGCCUGUGGCCUCUUCAUCACCCUGGAACCUGAACCCUAUGCCGACCUGCUCAUGACAGUAUAGCAACUGUACCUUGUGCUUCUCUGCACUUACGCACAUUGAGAGAAAGCUAUCAGAAGAAGAAGCCAGAGAACUAACGGGGUUCAUCUCAGGUGCCUGCUUUUCUUCAAAGUCCAGUACUGCCUGCCGUUCAGGGUUCCCUCUGGGUCCUUGGUGGACUACGACUUUGGAGGGAAUCAAUUCUAACCCUGGAUUUGCCAGUGCCUGACAGAUGUGGAGAGCACAUGAAUCAUGGCAUGCCUUGGUUUCCCCCUCAUUCAACGUGGGUAUCAUACUUCCUGUUACUCUUGCAGAUAGGUGUGGGGAAGGCUGCAUGCAAACCCAUUGCUGUAAUUAGCAUCAUUAUAUGACUUUUAUUAGCGCCCUCCAUGGUCACACAUUUCUAAAGACAUGCUCCAGGAAGAGGAAAUACAAUGAGAGCAGUAUCUACCUGCAACCUUGGGUUAGACAGA
rnacentral:lncRNA from 1 species